rnacentral:rRNA from 1 species
UACGUAGGGCGCGAGCGUUGUCCGGAUUUAUUGGGCGUAAAGAGCUCGUAGGCGGCUUGUUGCGUCGACCGUGAAAACCUACGGCUUAACUGUGGGCGUGCGGUUGAUACGGGCAGGCUGGAGUUCGGUAGGGGAGACUGGAAUUCCUGGUGUAGCGGUGAAAUGACGCAGAUAUCAGGAGGAACACCGGUGGCGAAGGCGGAUCUCUGGGCCGUAACUGACGCUGAGGAGCGAAAGCAUGGGUAGCGAACAGG